rnacentral:rRNA from 1 species
UACGUAGGGUGCAAGCGUUAAUCGGAAUUACUGGGCGUAAAGCGUGCGCAGGCGGUUUUGUAAGUCAGAUGUGAAAUCCCCGGGCUUAACCUGGGAAUUGCAUUUGUGACUGCACGGCUAGAGUGUGUCAGAGGGGGGUAGAAUUCCACGUGUAGCAGUGAAAUGCGUAGAUAUGUGGAGGAAUACCGAUGGCGAAGGCAGCCCCCUGGGAUAACACUGACGCUCAUGCACGAAAGCGUGGGGAGCAAACAGG